rnacentral:rRNA from 1 species
AGGUUGGCUUAGAAGCAGCCACCCUUGAAAGAGUGCGUAAUAGCUCACUGGUCAAGUGAUUCCGCGCCGACAAUGUAGCGGGGCUCAAGUACACCGCCGAAACCGUGGCAUUCAGUUUUGCUGGAUGGGUAGGGGAGCGUCGUUCACGAGGUGAAGCCAGCGGGUAACUUCUGGUGGAUUGUGGACGAGUGAGAAUGCAGGCAUGAGUAGCGAAAGACGGGUGAGAAACCCGUCCGCCGGAUGACUAAGGGU